rnacentral:rRNA from 1 species
CAGUAGCCGCGGUAAUACGGAGGGAGCUAGCGUUGUUCGGAAUUACUGGGCGUAAAGCGCACGUAGGCGGCUUUGUAAGUUAGAGGUGAAAGCCUGGAGCUCAACUCCAGAAUUGCCUUUAAGACUGCAUCGCUUGAAUCCGGGAGAGGUGAGUGGAAUUCCGAGUGUAGAGGUGAAAUUCGUAGAUAUUCGGAAGAACACCAGUGGCGAAGGCGGCUCACUGGACCGGCAUUGACGCUGAGGUGCGAAAGCGUGGGGAGCAAACAGGAUUAGAUACCCCCGUAGUCCCUGUCUCUUAUAC